rnacentral:lncRNA from 1 species
CUGGGGAGGAGGAGGAAGAGGAGGGAGAGAUGUAAAACCUCAUGUGGAUUCUGCCAUUUGAAACCUUAAAAAUGUCACUUGCUGUCCCUGGACCUCAAUUGCUUAAGUGAUAUGUGGCUUCUGGGAUGGGGUCUUGCUGUGUUGCCCAGGCUGGUCCUGAACUCCUGAGCUCAAGGGAUCCUCCCGACUUGGCCUCUCAAAGUGCUGGGAUUACAGAGACAGGGUUUUGCCAUGUUGCCCCGGCUGGUUUCAGACUUCUGGCCUCAGCCCCCCAAAGCGCUGGGAUUACAUGCAUGAGCCACUACACCCGACCAGGAAAAUCUCUUAAUUAUCCAUCCAGAUUCACACAAGAAAUGGAAGACGGUUCCUUGAGGCCUGGGCAGGCUGGUUUUGUGGCCUGCCCACACACUGGCUCAGGGACUUUGCCGUUCUCACUGGGUCAGGUGGGAUGACAGAGCUCAGUGAGGGCACUCGAUUAGCCCAGCCCUGAAGGAAGGACGAGCAGCUCACCCCAUCUCAGUGCAGCCUGCGGCCCCCGCAAGGUGUCCUCCCUGGUUACUGCACCAUCUCACAGCCCUCUAGCCUCUGGGACUCAAAGGCAGGCUCCCUUGCUGUUUCAAGAUAACUUGACAACCCAGGAAAACCCUCAUGUCCCCCACUCCCACCUUUCCAAUUUUGGUUCCUGCCUUGCUUGCAUAAGGACGCUGUUCCCCCCCAACAAGCCCUGCCCAUCCAUGCUGUGCCUUCACCUGGGGGAUAUUCCAGGAAGCCUUCCCUGACCACCCUCAUGACGAUGACUUCCUAAGGGUGACGGUGACAAGUGCCAGCAGGCCAUCUGCACAGUGAAAGACACCAGUGCUUCUCCCCAUCUGCCCGCUGAGCACCCCCACUCUGUUUCUGGCCCCAACACCAGUUUCCCAAAGAUACUGUCCCCAUUCCAGUCACCAUUCUAGAUGCACCAUUCUAAAGGCGUGGGCAUUUAGCAGCAGGUACACUGAGGCUCUCAUUCUGGGGCUGCAACUUGCGCUAAGGCUUUGUGCCUCAGUUUCCUCAUCUGCAAAAUGAGAAUAAGCACCUGCGCUCCAGAUGGCCUUGUGCCAACUGCUUGGGAUGGCAGAUCUGGCCAGCUACCAGUGUUGCUUUCUUCCCUGCACCUUCCUGGGCUUUUCUGUCCUCACCCAGAGCGGGCGGUCCGGCUUGGAGGAGGGACUAACUGGCCGUGAAGGGGAGUCCACCCACCCGACUGCCCCUUCCCCUCAUCCCUGGAAGUUCCAUCUGAGACAGGGGGAUGGAGCUUCCCUGG